AAAUGGGCUAGACUGGAGGGUCAGGGGUCCUCUGUAAGCGCACAUCCCCUAUACGGCGCGGUCGAAGUUCAAGAGGCGGCAGAUUAACUGUUUAUUGGCCCAGAUGUUCAACGUCGAAACCUCGUCCCGCAGGAUCACUGGUGGGCGGGCUCUGGCUGGAGGGCCAGUGUUAACGUCCUUAACCAGGGGAAUGUGUCAGGUCUGGAAAGAAGCAGCUCUACUCUGGUCAGCUGAUGCUUGUGGAAUAGCGGGGUGGAGUUGGCCUUCUGGAUCACCAAUUCACACGCGGUCUGUCCACUCUUGAACACGCCCACUU
rnacentral:SRP_RNA from 1 species